rnacentral:rRNA from 1 species
AGAACGAACGCUGGCGGCAGGCCUCAAACAUGCAAGUCUAGGGGGUGUAGCAAUACAUCACCGGCGGACGGGUGCGUAACACGUGGGAAUGUACUUACUGGUUCGGAACAACUCAGGGAAACUUGAGCUAAUACCGAAUGUGCCCGAAAGGGGAAAGAUUUAUCGCCAGUAAAUCAGCCCGCGUCCGAUUAGCUAGUUGGUGGGGUAAAGGCCCACCAAGGCGACGAUCGGUAGCUGUUCUGAGAGGAAGAUCAGCCACACUGGGACUGAGACACGGCCCAGACUCCUACGGGAGGCAGCAGUUGGGAAUCUUGGACAAUGGGGGAAACCCUGAUCCAGCCAUGCCGCGUGAGUGAUGAAGGCCUUCGGGUUGUAAACUCUUUCGACGGGACGAUAAUGACGGUACCGUAGAAGAAGCUCCGGCUAACUUCGUGCCAGCAGCCGC